rnacentral:tRNA from 1 species
GGAGAGGUGGCAGAGUGGCUGAAUGCGCCGCACUCGAAAUGCGGUAUACUCGCAAGGGUAUCGUGGGUUCAAAUCCCACCCUCUCCGCCA